rnacentral:misc_RNA from 1 species
GAAAUGCGAUAAGUAAUGUGAAUUGCAGAAUUCAGUGAAUCAUCGAAUCUUUGAACGCACAUUGCGCCCGCCAGUAUUCUGGCGGGCAUGCCUGUUCGAGCGUCAUUUCAACCAUCAAGCCCCCGGCUUGUGUUGGGGACCUGCGGCUGCCCGCAGGCCCUGAAAACCAGUGGCGGACUCGCUGUCACACCGAGCGUAGUAGCAUACAUCUCGCUCAGGGCGUGCUGCGGGUUCCGGCCGUUAAAAGCCUUUUUUUACCCAAGGUUGACCUCGGAUCAGGUAGGAAGACCCGCUGAACUUAAGC